rnacentral:rRNA from 1 species
GAUGAACGCUAGCGGCAGGCUUAACACAUGCAAGUCGAGGGGUAUAGUUCUUCGGAGCUAGAGACCGGCGCACGGGUGCGUAACGCGUAUGCAAUCUACCUUUUGCAGAGGGAUAGCCCAGAGAAAUUUGGAUUAAUACCUCAUGGUAUGUGAGAAUAGCAUCAUUUUCACAUUAAAGUCACAACGGCAAAAGAUGAGCAUGCGUCCCAUUAGCUAGUUGGUAAGGUAACGGCUUACCAAGGCAACGAUGGGUAGGGGUCCUGAGAGGGAGAUCCCCCACACUGGUACUGAGACACGGACCAGACUCCUACGGGAGGCAGCAGUGAGGAAUAUUGGACAAUGGGCGCAAGCCUGAUCCAGCCAUGCCGCGUGCAGGAUGACGGUCCUAUGGAUUGUAAACUGCUUUUGUACAGGAAGAAACACUGGUUCGUGAACCAGCUUGACGGUACUGUAAGAAUAAGGAUCGGCUAACUCCGUGCCAGCCGCCGCAGUAAUAC